rnacentral:rRNA from 1 species
GUAGUCCACGCUGUAAACGAUGUCGAUUGAGAGGAUGGAGCUAUAAGCAUUGUCUUCUGAAGCUAACGCGAUAAAUCGACCGCCUGGGGAGUACGGCCGCAAGGUUAAAACUCAAAUGAAUUGACGGGGGCCCGCACAAGCGGUGGAGCAUGUGGUUUAAUUCGAUGCAACGCGAAGAACCUUACCUGGUCUUGACAUCCACAGAAUCUUUUAGAGAUAAGAGAGUGCCUUCGGGAGCUGUGAGACAGGUGCUGCAUGGCUGUCGUCAGCUCGUGUUGUGAAAUGUUGGGUUAAGUCCCGCAACGAGCGCAACCCCUAUUCUCUGUUGCCAGCGGUUAGAGCCGGGGACUCAGAGGAGACUGCCGGUGAUAAACCGGA